ensembl:lncRNA
CCCACCAUCACCCUGGGUGGCUCCUCGGUCAAAUCAAUGGCGUUCUUUCGCUUUCUGGGCCCAAUCAUUGCCCAGGACCUCAAGUAGGAGCUGAACCUCGCUUACAAAGAAAGCUCAGCAGAGGAUGUACUUCCUGUGGAAGCUGAAAAGUUCAACCUGCCAAAAACGAUGAUGGUGCAUUUCGUCAGUCCUGACCUCCUCCAUCACCGUCUGGUACACUCUGCAGAGAGGGUGAUUGGCUGCAAUCUGCCGUCUCUACAAGACUUACACCCCUCCCUUGAUACAGAGGACACAAUAAGUAACUUGAGGUGUCAACAUUCUAUUGGCCAAGUCUAUUGUGACAUUUAUUCACCAUUACCUGAUCCUAAGGUCUUUGUGAGACGCAGAGUGGGUGAACGACUGAAGCAUGGCGGAGGUGUGAUGGUGUCUGGCUGCUAUUGAGGUGGAAAAUGGAACCAUACCCAGGAACUAGGAACUUUUCCAGGAUCCAGGGUCUAGAACCAGGAACCAGGAAAUACAUUUUACCCCCAAAACAGUCCCUGCUCGGGAGGAUCACGAUGGGUUGGUGCAACAGGACCACAGUGGCCUACAUCAAUCGCCAAGGGGGAGUCAGCUCUCCUCUACUCAACCUGCGCUCGUUGAAGGCCUCCCAUAUUCCGAGUCAACUCAAUGUGGGAAGAGACCUCAUGUCCCGAGGAGGUCCUCAGCACGAUUCAGGGUGCCUGGGCUGUAUCUACUUCUAAGGUGUAUGUGGGGGAAUGGAACGUCUUUUCGCUAUGGUGCAAGGGCCAUUCUAUAGACCCUGUGUGCUGUGAGGUGGGUUGAAUUCUCAACCUAAAGUCAUCCCCCAUUGUUAAGGACUAGAACAAUCUUGAUGUUGAUGCGUGGAAUAUGCAUGAAAGUUGUGAUUUUGGUUUUGGCUGACCGCCACUAUUUGGUGUAACAUAGAUAUGCAUCAAAGUUGGAAAGAUUCCCUUAACUUUAGGAGGUUAAUUGAAUCAUGAUGUUUAUGUUGUCACGAAGUACUUUGGCCAUUGCCUGAGGAAAUGUACAUUUUGAUAUGCUAAUUUGGGAGUUGUUUCACUGAGUAAGACAACUCUGUCAAUAGGUUUUAUGGGUUAUAAUUCCUUGACACGAGCGACUGUGUGGCACAUUUGUUGUUUUUUGAUUUUGUUUGUGG